GAACCGGGAACCGGGCUGCAGACUCUCCGGCCCGGGGGAGGGAUGGUGAGCAGGGGCCUGGCUGGACCGAGGGCCAGACUCCAGGAACAGAGGAACACAUUCGGGGACAGACAGUAGAGACGCGGACGGGGACGCUGAGGGACAGACUUGGAGGAGGGGCAUAUGAGGGGACCUAAAGAGGAUAGAGAGUUUCACUCUGGUUGCCCAGGCUGGAGUGCAAUGGCGCGAUCUCGGCUCACCGCAACCUCUGCCUCCCGGAUUCAAGCGAUUCUCCUGCUUCAGCCUCCCGAGUAGCUGGGAUUACAGAUGGGAAGACACAAAAGCAACGGGUGCAGAAGUCUCCAAAUGGAAUCCUGGCAUCAUCCCAGAGCUGCGUAUGCUGAAGGGUCUCUAGCACACAAAGGGAGAGGGAGUUGAUGCAGUCGGCAGAUCUGUAAUUGCAGACAUAAUCUUUUUAGCUGGAGACACCUUUCUGAUUCCACUGAAGAUGAAAUGAAUUCAAUUUGAGAAUUCAUUCCCAUUCUAAAUACCAAAACAGAGGCUUUCAGGAAAUGAAGGCUCUCUCUGUCAUGGAGCCAAAUGUCUGACAGUGGCAGCCAGGUACUCGGUCUAUGACCUGGAAGAGGGAGGGGCUGGGAGGUACAGAGUGGAAGGUAGGUGCCUUGGUGUAGACCUAGCUUCCAGGUAAGGUGAGCCUUACCUCAAACUUGCCAUGUGACCUUAGCCUACUCAUGUAUCCUUCCUGAGCGUCAAUGUCCUCAUCUCUAAAAUGUGUUCACUGGAUGUAGUGAGAGUGCAAAUGAUGGAUGGUGCCUGGAGGCAGGCUGAUGUGUUUUGUCACUUAGCCCCAGCAUGUCAGAUAUCUCAACUGCAAAAUGGGAGCAAACAAAUUUACUAAUCGGGAGAGAAGUAAUACUGGUGUCAGAGAUUCUCCAUAAAUAGGAUACCAAAAAAAUCACUUCUUUCUUUGACAUGCAAUGGCAGCUGCUGCCUCAAACAUGUCAUUUUUUGGCGAGUGCUGACAUCACCAGUGAGCUCUAAGGCAUGCCUACUCCCGCUGGACCUGGCCCUGGCCCUUCCUUGGCUCCCUCCUGAGCUUGAGAGGCAGGGCCAGGCCCGGAAUGGGAGGGGGAGCAAAUAACGAGAGGCCAACCAUUCAAGCUCCAGGACCUCCAGGGAAGAGAGGGCUGGGCCAGAGUAUCAGAGAAGCCUUCUCAGAAGGCAGAGGGCCUGAUUGCCCUGGGCCUCUAGGACUAGUGGGACUGUCAGGAGGCAGAUAAACAGAUAUGCAUUGGGUCAUGAAAGCAUGUGUGAUGAUGAGAGAGGGUGAGGGGGGAGGAGCAGGAAGGGAGGUUGGACAGGAAGGUGGGGCCCCGUGCCUCUGUCUCCUAGCAAUGUCAGGCCUGACCUUGGGAGGGCAGAUACUGAGCCCUGUCCUGCAGCAGCAUCCACCCCUCAUCUGUCCCACCCCAGCUCUACAGCGUGCAAGACAGACAGAGUGUGUGCGAUACAUUUCAAAGGGGCAUUCUACAUCUAUCAUGUGGAUGUCAUAAUUCAGUACGAUGCACAAACAGUACCACAACGACUUGACAGUCUGGCUGGGGCAAUGAGAAUUAGAUAAGCAAAAGCAAUAUCCAAUUUAUCACAUGGACUUGGAGCUGAGAUGAAAACACAUAUGACUGAUGAUGUUCACGGAGUGACAGGAUCACACGGAUAUACCCAGGGUCACGUACAGUUUCCAUGCCUGGGGCUAUAAGAGCUACAAUGGCAUCUCUUUUUCUCCCACCCAGUAAAGCACAGGGUACAGCAGAUGUGUGAGUGUCAUGAUAUAAAGACGUACUAGACACAAAGAUGUGUGCCUUCUGUAAUGUCCUUAACUGUCUCCUCUCCCCAACGAUACCCCCCCACCCGAAUGCCCCAGCAUCUCACCUGAAUCAGGUCACAGGGAGACUCAGAUGAAACAUCACAC
ensembl:lncRNA SAP30L-AS1 SAP30L antisense RNA 1 (head to head)